rnacentral:snRNA from 1 species
CUUAUCAUGGCCCCUGUGCAAGAAUGACAUUCAAAUUCGUGAAACAUUCCAUAUUUUU